AUUGAACGCUGGCGGCAUGCUUUACACAUGCAAGUCGAACGGUAACAGCACUUCGGUGGCUGACGAGUGGCGGACGGGUGAGUAAUACAUCGGAACGUGCCUAGUAGUGGGGGUUAACUACUCGAAAGAGUAGCUAAUACCGCAUGAGAUCUAAGGAUGAAAGCAGGGGACCUUCGGGCCUUGCGCUACUAGAGCGGCUGAUGGCAGAUUAGGUAGUUGGUGGGAUAAAAGCUUACCAAGCCGACGAUCUGUAGCUGGUCUGAGAGGACGACCAGCCACACUGGAACUGAGACACGGCCCAGACUCCUACGGGAGGCAGCAGUGGGGAAUUUUGGACAAUGGGCGCAAGCCUGAUCCAGCAAUGCCGCGUGCAGGAUGAAGGCCUUCGGGUUGUAAACUGCUUUUGUACGGAACGAAAAGCCCUCUUCUAAUACAGGAGGGUCAUGACGGUACCGUAAGAAUAAGCACCGGCUAACUACGUG
rnacentral:rRNA from 1 species